rnacentral:rRNA from 1 species
GGUUAAGCGACUAAGCGUACACGGUGGAUGCCCUGGCAGUCAGAGGCGAUGAAGGACGUGCUAAUCUGCGAUAAGCGUCGGUAAGGUGAUAUGAACCGUUAUAACCGGCGAUUUCCGAAUGGGGAAACCCAGUGUGUUUCGACACACUAUCAUUAACUGAAUCCAUAGGUUAAUGAGGCGAACCGGGGAACUGAAACAUCUAAGUACCCCGAGGAAAAGAAAUCAACCGAGAUUCCCCCAGUAGCGGCGAGCGAACGGGGAGCAGCCCAGAGCCUGAAUCAGUGUGUGUGUUAGUGGAAGCGUCUGGAAAGGCGCGCGAUACAGGGUGACAGCCCCGUACACAAAAAUGCACAUACUGUGAGCUCGAUGAGUAGGGCGGGACACGUGGUAUCCUGUCUGAAUAUGGGGGACCAUCCUCCAAGGCUAAAUACUCCUGACUGACCGAUAGUGAACCAGUACCGUGAGGGAAAGGCGAAAAGAACCCCGGCGAGGGGAGUGAAAAAGAACCUGAAACCGUGUACGUACAAGCAGUGGGAGCCUCUUUAUGGGGUGACUGCGUACCUUUGUAUAAUGGGUCAGCGACUUAUAUUCUGUAGCAAGGUUAACCGAAUAGGGGAGCCGAAGGGAAACCGAGUCUUAACUGGGCGUUAAGUUGCAGGGUAUAGACCCGAAACCCGGUGAUCUAGCCAUGGGCAGGUUGAAGGUUGGGUAACACUAACUGGAGGACCGAACCGACUAAUGUUGAAAAAUUAGCGGAUGACUUGUGGCUGGGGGUGAAAGGCCAAUCAAACCGGGAGAUAGCUGGUUCUCCCCGAAAGCUAUUUAGGUAGCGCCUCGUGAAUUCAUCUCCGGGGGUAGAGCACUGUUUCGGCAAGGGGGUCAUCCUGACUUACCAACCCGAUGCAAACUGCGAAUACCGGAGAAUGUUAUCACGGGAGACACACGGCGGGUGCUAACGUCCGUCGUGAAGAGGGAAACAACCCAGACCGCCAGCUAAGGUCCCAAAGUCAUGGUUAAGUGGGAAACGAUGUGGGAAGGCCCAGACAGCCAGGAUGUUGGCUUAGAAGCAGCCAUCAUUUAAAGAAAGCGUAAUAGCUCACUGGUCGAGUCGGCCUGCGCGGAAGAUGUAACGGGGCUAAACCAUGCACCGAAGCUGCGGCAGCGACGCUUAUGCGUUGUUGGGUAGGGGAGCGUUCUGUAAGCCUGUGAAGGUGUGCUGUGAGGCAUGCUGGAGGUAUCAGAAGUGCGAAUGCUGACAUAAGUAACGAUAAAGCGGGUGAAAAGCCCGCUCGCCGGAAGACCAAGGGUUCCUGUCCAACGUUAAUCGGGGCAGGGUGAGUCGACCCCUAAGGCGAGGCCGAAAGGCGUAGUCGAUGGGAAACAGGUUAAUAUUCCUGUACUUGGUGUUACUGCGAAGGGGGACGGAGAAGGCUAUGUUGGUAGGGCGACGGUUGUCCCGGUUUAAGCGUGUAGGCUGGUUUUCCAGGCAAAUCCGGAAAAUCAAGGCUGAGGCGUGAUGACGAGGCACUACGGUGCUGAAGCAACAAAUGCCCUGCUUCCAGGAAAAGCCUCUAAGCAUCAGGUAACAUCAAAUCGUACCCCAAACCGACACAGGUGGUCAGGUAGAGAAUACCAAGGCGCUUGAGAGAACUCGGGUGAAGGAACUAGGCAAAAUGGUGCCGUAACUUCGGGAGAAGGCACGCUGAUAUGUAGGUGAAGCGACUUGCUCGUGGAGCUGAAAUCAGUCGAAGAUACCAGCUGGCUGCAACUGUUUAUUAAAAACACAGCACUGUGCAAACACGAAAGUGGACGUAUACGGUGUGACGCCUGCCCGGUGCCGGAAGGUUAAUUGAUGGGGUCAGCGCAAGCGAAGCUCUUGAUCGAAGCCCCGGUAAACGGCGGUACGUAACUAUAACGGUCCUAAGGUAGCGAAAUUCCUUGUCGGGUAAGUUCCGACCUGCACGAAUGGCGUAAUGAUGGUACAGGCUGUCUCCACCCGAGACUCAGUGAAAUUGAACUCGCUGUGAAGAUGCAGUGUACCCGCGGCAAGACGGAAAGACCCCGUGAACCUUUACUAUAGCUUGACACUGAACAUUGAGCCUUGAUGUGUAGGAUAGGUGGGAGGCUUUGAAGUGUGGACGCCAGUCUGCAUGGAGCCGACCUUGAAAUACCACCCUUUAAUGUUUGAUGUUCUAACGUUGACCCGUAAUCCGGGUUGCGGACAGUGUCUGGUGGGUAGUUUGACUGGGGCGGUCUCCUCCUAAAGAGUAACGGAGGAGCACGAAGGUUGGCUAAUCCUGGUCGGACAUCAGGAGGUUAGUGCAAUGGCAUAAGCCAGCUUGACUGCGAGCGUGACGGCGCGAGCAGGUGCGAAAGCAGGUCAUAGUGAUCCGGUGGUUCUGAAUGGAAGGGCCAUCGCUCAACGGAUAAAAGGUACUCCGGGGAUAACAGGCUGAUACCGCCCAAGAGUUCAUAUCGACGGCGGUGUUUGGCACCUCGAUGUCGGCUCAUCACAUCCUGGGGCUGAAGUAGGUCCCAAGGGUAUGGCUGUUCGCCAUUUAAAGUGGUACGCGAGCUGGGUUUAGAACGUCGUGAGACAGUUCGGUCCCUAUCUGCCGUGGGCGCUGGAGAACUGAGGGGGCUGCUCCUAGUACGAGAGGACCGGAGUGGACGCAUCACUGGUGUUCGGGUUGUCAUGCCAAUGGCACUGCCCGGUAGCUAAAUGCGGAAGAGAUAAGUGCUGAAAGCAUCUAAGCACGAAACUUGCCCCGAGAUGAGUUCUCCCUGACUCCUUGAGAGUCCUGAAGGAACGUUGAAGACGACGACGUUGAUAGGCCGGGUGUGUAAGCGCAGCGAUGCGUUGAGCUAACCGGUACUAAUGAACCGUGAGGCUUAACCUU